rnacentral:rRNA from 1 species
GAUGAACGCUGGCGGCGUGCCUAAUACAUGCAAGUCGAGCGAACGGACGAGAAGCUUGCUUCUCUGAUGUUAGCGGCGGACGGGUGAGUAACACGUGGAUAACCUACCUAUAAGACUGGGAUAACUUCGGGAAACCGGAGCUAAUACCGGAUAAUAUUUUGAACCGCAUGGUUCAAAAGUAAAAGACGGUCUUGCUGUCACUUAUAGAUGGAUCCGCGCUGCAUUAGCUAGUUGGUAAGGUAACGGCUUACCAAGGCAACGAUGCAUAGCCGACCUGAGAGGGUGAUCGGCCACACUGGAACUGAGACACGGUCCAGACUCCUACGGGAGGCAGCAGUAGGGAAUCUUCCGCAAUGGGCGAAAGCCUGACGGAGCAACGCCGCGGGAGUGAUGAAGGUCUUCGGAUCGUAAAACUCUGUUAUUAGGGAAGAACAUAUGUGUAAGUAACUGUGCACAUCUUGACGGUACCUAAUCAGAAAGCCACGGCUAACUACGUG